UCACUUCUCAUUAUACAUGGAGAGAGAAUCGCGCGAUAUUCCGCACACGGAGAUGGCUGUGACGGACACAAACGCAGCAAUUUGGGAAGAAAUCGAACGUUCUGAGAGUUACCUUGUUGUUGCCUCUAUGUAUGAGGAGGCUGCAUCAAUAGGUUCCUCAGUUUUAAAAAAAAUAUGCGAGAGCAAGAACAAUAACUUGGCCGAUCAAGACAUGGAAGGAUUUGAGUUGCAUGACAUGAUGAUAUCAGCUGGUAUGGUGUUGGUUCAGUCCUUGAACCAACUGGGCAGGGCAU
rnacentral:misc_RNA from 1 species